rnacentral:rRNA from 1 species
UGGGAUCCCUUCGGGGUGAACUUGGUGCUGACGAGUAGCGAACGGGUGAGUAACGCGUGGGAAUCUGCCCUAUAGUGGGGAUAAGCCAGGGAAACUUGGUCUAAUACCGCAUAAUCUCUACGGAGAAAGCGGGGAUCUUCGGACCUCGCACUAUUGGAUGAGCCCACGUUAGAUUAGCUUGUUGGUGGGUAAAGGCCUACCAAGGCGACGAUCUAUAGCUGGUCUGAGAGGAUGAUCAGCCACACUGGGACUGAGACACGGCCCAGACUCC